UACGUAGGGGGCAAGCGUUGUCCGGAAUCAUUGGGCGUAAAGAGCGUGUAGGCGGUCCGGUCAGUCGGUUGUGAAAGUCAAGGGCUCAACCCUUGAAUGCCGGCCGAUACUGCCGGGCUAGAGUCCGGAAGAGGUGAGUGAAAUUCCUGGUGUAGCGGUGAAAUGCGCAGAUAUCAGGAGGAACACCAAUGGCGAAGGCAGCUCACUGGGACGGUACUGACGCUGAGACGCGAAAGCGUGGGGAGCAAACAGG
rnacentral:rRNA from 1 species